CCUACGGGUGGCAGCAGUGGGGAAUAUUGCGCAAUGGGCGAAAGCCUGACGCAGCGACGCCGCGUGAGGGAUGAAGGUCUUCGGAUCGUAAACCUCUGUCAGCAGGGAAGAACGGUCACUGUGCUAAUCAGCAGUGAAUUGACGGUACCUGCAAAGGUAGCACCGGCUAAAUCCGGGCCAGCAGCCGCGGUAAUACGGAGGGUGCGAGCGUUAAUCGGAAUUACUGGGCGUAAAGCGCUCGUAGGCGUUAUGUCAAGUCAAGGGUGAAAUCCCCGCGCUAAACGUGGGAACUGCCUUUGAAACUGGCAAACUGGAGUGGGAGAGAGGAGAGUGGAAUUCCAGGUGUAGGAGUGAAAGCCGUAGAUAUCUGGAAGAACA
rnacentral:rRNA from 1 species